AGAGACGAGUCAGAGUUUGAUCCUGGCUCAGGAUGAACGCUAGCGGCAGGCCUAACACAUGCAAGUCGAGGGGCAGCGGGAAAGUAGCUUGCUACUUUUGCCGGCGACCGGCGCACGGGUGCGUAACGCGUAUGUAACCUACCUUAAACAGGGGCAUAACACUGAGAAAUUGGUACUAAUUCCCCAUAAUACUUUGAGAGGCAUCUUCUGAAGUUGAAAGUUCCGGCGGUUUAAGAUGGACAUGCGUUGUAUUAGUUAGUUGGUGAGGUAACGGCUCACCAAGACGACGAUACAUAGGGGGACUGAGAGGUUAACCCCCCACAUUGGUACUGAGACACGGACCAA
rnacentral:rRNA from 1 species